rnacentral:rRNA from 1 species
UACGGGGGGGGCAAGCGUUGUUCGGAAUUACUGGGCGUAAAGGGCUCGUAGGCGGCCAACUAAGUCAGACGUGAAAUCCCUCGGCUUAACCGGGGAACUGCAUCUGAUACUGGAUGGCUUGAGUUCGGGAGAGGGAUGUGGAAUUCCAGGUGUAGCGGUGAAAUGCGUAGAUAUCGGGAGGAACACCAGUGGCGAAGGCGGGCAUCUGGGCCAACACUGACGCUGAGGCGCGAAAGCUAGGGGAGCAAACAGG